UUCACUCAGGAUCACUUCUUCGCCCACUUCGUACUUUAAGACUUCUCGAUCGAUCCUUAUCGCCCGCGACUCAACCACCACAAAGAUACUCGACCACUCUUUUCUUUUCUUUUUUUUUUAACCGGUUUCUACAACGGAUAUCCUGUGUGUGCUGACGGACACAGACGGACACACACGAUCGUCCUGUAUGUGCUGGCGGACACCCACUGACGUCCUGUGUGUACUGAACAGAUAGCCCACGUGGG
rnacentral:lncRNA from 1 species